rnacentral:lncRNA from 1 species
GUGGUCUCAUGGUGGGUGUCUUUUAGGUCCCAGUUGUUGUUACUAGUCAACUUCCAGUGGACACCCCCAUAGUGUCUUUCAGAGCCCCUCCUAAAAAACAAGUUAUAUUUUGGGUUGGAUAUUGCAUCAUAUUGUUGAUAUUUUAAUCAAUGGCAUUUCCUUACAAUGCUCAUUAGUCUUUCAGUUGUUAUUAUUGUUUUUUAUCCUCAUAUUUGUGUACUAAAUAUUUCUGAUUAUUUUCAUAGUUUUUUCCUGUGAAGCCAUUGUGUUGCAUCCAUGUCUGAAAUGUGCUGUAUAAAUAAAGCUUGAUUUGAUUUGAACAUAUUGCGAAACAAAUGAACCCAAUGACCGACCAAUCAACAGACUCUUGGUCCCUCUUAGUAUCCCCCUUGUCCCUUUCCCAAUGUCAUGAACUAGACCAGGUACUGUUACAGCUGGUCUCUCCUCCUCAAUGCCAUGAACUAGACCAGGUACUGUUACAGCUGCUCUCUCCUCCUCAAUGUCAUGAACUAGACCAGGUACUGUGUUACAGCUGCUCUCUCCUCCUCAAUGUCAUGAACUAGACCAGGUACUGUGUUACAGCUGCUCUCUCCUCCUCAAUGUCAUGAACUAGACCAGGUACUGUGUUACAGCUGCUCUCUCCUCCUCAAUGUCAUGAACUAGACCAGGUACUGUGUUACAGCUGCUCUCUCCUCCUCAAUGUCAUGAACUAGACCAGGUACUGUGUUACAGCUGCUCUCUCCUCCUCAAUGUCAUGAACUAGACCAGGUACUGUGUUACAG